rnacentral:rRNA from 1 species
AGAGUUUGAUCCUGGCUCAGGAUGAACGCUGGCGGCGUGCUUAACACAUGCAAGUCGAACGGACUCAUAUUGAAACCUAGUGAUUUAUGAGUUAGUGGCGGACGGGUGAAUAACGCGUGGAAAACCUGCCGUAUACUGGGGGAUAACACUUAGAAAUAGGUGCUAAUACCGCAUAAGCGCACAGCUUCGCAUGAAGUGGUGUGAAAAACUCUGGUGGUAUACGAUGGUUCCGCGUCUGAUUAGCUUGUUGGUGGGGUAAUGGCUCACCAAGGCGACGAUCAGUAGCCGGCCUGAGAGGGUGAACGGCCACAUUGGGACUGAGACACGGCCCAAACUCCUACGGGAGGCAGCAGUGGGGAAUAUUGCACAAUGGGGGAAACCCUGAUGCAGCGACGCCGCGUGAGUGAAGAAGUAUUUCGGUAUGUAAAGCUCUAUCAGCAGGGAAGAAAUAGCGACCUUUGGGUCGCCAGACGGUACCUGAUUAAGAAGCCCCGGCUAACUACGUGCCAGCAGCCGCGGUAAUACGUAGGGGGCAAGCGUUAUCCGGAUUUACUGGGUGUAAAGGGAGCGUAGACGGCAGCGCAAGUCUGAAGUGAAAUGCCGGGGCUUAACCCCGGAACUGCUUUGGAAACUGUGCAGCUAGAGUGCAGGAGAGGUAAGUGGAAUUCCUAGUGUAGCGGUGAAAUGCGUAGAUAUUAGGAGGAACACCAGUGGCGAAGGCGGCUUACUGGACUGUAACUGACGUUGAGGCUCGAAAGCGUGGGGAGCAAACAGGAUUAGAUACCCUGGUAGUCCACGCUGUAAACGAUGAUU